GUCUACGGCCAUACUACCCUGAAUGUGCCCGAUCUCAUCUGAUCUCGGAAGCUAAGCAGGGUCGGGUCUGGUUAGUACUUGGAUGGGAGACCGCCUGGGAAUACCAGGUGCUGUAGGCU
ensembl:rRNA 5S_rRNA 5S ribosomal RNA